rnacentral:rRNA from 1 species
UGGUCUGGCCUGCCCACUGAUAUUUAAAAUUAAAGGGCCGCGGUAUUUUGACCGUGCGAAGGUAGCAUAAUAAUUAGUCUCCUAAUUAGAGGCUUGUAUGAAUGGUCGGACAAGAUGGAAACUGUCUCAAUACAAUAAAUAAAAUUUAAUAUUUAAGUAAAAAAGCUUAAAUAACGUGGAGUGACGAUAAGACCCUAUAAAGCUUUAUAAUAUCUUUCUUUUAUAUAAAUUAUUUCGUUAUUAACAUAUCUUAGUGUAGGUAUUAUUUUACUGGGGCGGUAAAAGUAUAUUAAAAGAAUAACUGCUUUUAUUUUGCAUAACAAUUGUAGUUGGAAAUAAAUUGAUCCAUUAUUAAUGAUUAUAAAAACAAGUUACUUUAGGGAUAACAGCGUAAUUUUUUUUGAGAGUUCCUAUCGAAAAAAAAGUUUGCGACUA